rnacentral:rRNA from 1 species
UACGUAGGGUGCAAGCGUUAAUCGGAAUUACUGGGCGUAAAGGGCGCGUAGGCGGCCACCGCAAGUCGACUGUGAAAUCUCCGGGCUUAACCCGGAAAGGUCAGCCGAUACUGCGGGGCUAGAGUGCAGAAGGGGCAACUGGAAUUCUCGGUGUAGCGGUGAAAUGCGUAGAUAUCGAGAGGAACACCUGCGGCGAAGGCGGGUUGCUGGGCUGACACUGACGCUGAGGCGCGAAAGCUAGGGGAGCGAAAGGG